rnacentral:rRNA from 1 species
AAUGAACGCUGGCGGCAUGCCUAACACAUGCAAGUCGAACGAAGGCUUCGGCCUUAGUGGCGCACGGGUGCGUAACGCGUGGGAAUCUGCCCUUGGGUUCGGAAUAACAGUUAGAAAUGACUGCUAAUACCGGAUGAUGUCGUAAGACCAAAGAUUUAUCGCCCAAGGAUGAGCCCGCGUAGGAUUAGCUAGUUGGCGGGGUAAAGGCCUACCAAGGCGACGAUCCUUAGCUGGUCUGAGAGGAUGAUCAGCCACACUGGGACUGAGACACGGCCCAGACUCCUACGGGAGGCAGCAGUGGGGAAUAUUGGACAAUGGGCGAAAGCCUGAUCCAGCAAUGCCGCGUGAGUGAUGAAGGCCUUAGGGUUGUAAAGCUCUUUUACCCGGGAUGAUAAUGACAGUACCGGGAGAAUAAGCUCCGGCUAACUUCGUG